UAUACCCGGCCGUCGGGGCA
rnacentral:sRNA from 1 species